GGGCGAUUAGCUCAGCGGUAGAGCAGGGUCUUUACACGGCCAAGGUCAGCGGUUCAAUCCCGUUAUCGCCCA
rnacentral:tRNA from 1 species